rnacentral:rRNA from 1 species
GGGGAACGGGUGAGGUAAUUUUUUGGAACCUUGCCCCAGUAGUGGGGGGAUAAAUACGGGAAAAGCGAAGCUAAUUCCGCAUUUUUCUCUUUCGGAGGAAAGGGGGGGGGAUUCAUUUGACCCUCUCGCUAUUGGAGCGGCCGAUAUCAGAUUAGUUAGUUGGUGGGGUAACGGCCUACCAAGGCAGUGAUCUGUAGCUGGUUUGAGAGGACGACCAGCCACACUGGGACUGAGACACGGCCCAGACUCCUACGGGAGGCAGCAGUGGGGAAUUUUCGACAAUGGGGGAAACCCUGAUCGAGCCAUCCCGCGUGUGGGACGAAGGCCUUCGGGUUGUAAACCACUUUUCUUAGCGAAGAAAAGUCUUAGGCUAAUACCUUAAGACGCUGACGGUAGCUAAGGAAUAAGCAUCGGCUAACUACGUGCCAGCAGCCGCGGUAAUACGUAGGAUGCAAGCGUUAAUCGGAAUUACUGGGCGUAAAGGGUGCGCAGGCGGCUUGGAAAGAACGGUGUGAAAUCCCGGGGCUCAACCCCGGAACUGCACUAUUAACUAUCAAGCUAGAGUAUGUCAGAGGGGGGUGGAAUUCCGCGUGUAGCAGUGAAAUGCGUAGAUAUGCGGAGGAACACCAAUGGCGAAGGCAGCCCCCUGGGAUAAUACUGACGCUCAGGCACGAAAGCGUGGGUAGCAAACAGGAUUAGAUACCCUGGUAGUCCACGCCCUAAACGAUGUCAACUAGCUGUGGGCCGGUUACGGCUUAGUAGCGCAGCUAACGCGUGAAGU